GUGGGGAAUAUUGGACAAUGGGCGCAAGCCUGAUCCAGCCAUGCCGCGUGAGUGAUGAAGGCCCUAGGGUUGUAAAGCUCUUUCACCGGUGAAGAUAAUGACGGUAACCGGAGAAGAAGCCCCGGCUAACUUCGUGCCAGCAGCCGCGGUAAUACGAAGGGGGCUAGCGUUGUUCGGAAUUACUGGGCGUAAAGCGCACGUAGGCGGACAUUUAAGUCAGGGGUGAAAUCCCAGAGCUCAACUCUGGAACUGCCUUUGAUACUGGGUGGCUUGAGUAUGGAAGAUGUAAGUGGAAUUCCGAGUGUAGAGGUGAAAUUCGUAGAUAUUCGGAGGAACACCAGUGGCGAAGGCGGCUUACUGGUCCAUUACUGACGCUGAGGUGCGAAAGCGUGGGGAGCAAACAGGAUUAGAAACCCUUGUAGUCC
rnacentral:rRNA from 1 species